CACACUGUAAUCCCAGGGCUAGGAAGGUAGAGACGGGCAGAUCCCUGAGGCUCCCUGGUCAGCUAGCCUAGACUACUUGGAGAGUUUCAGGAUGAGAUGAUGAUGAUGAUGAUGAUGAUGAUGAUGAUAACGAUGAUGAAAAAAUGAAAAGAAGAGAAUGGCACCUGAAGAACAACUCCUGAGUUUGUCCUCUGGCCUCCACAGCUCCUGGAUAUUUGAAGCAGCCCCAGGACAGUGGGAACUCAACAGUGCUUAGUAAUCAACUCUCCUGGACAUUUGAAGUGAGCCCCAGCAAAAGUCCACAAAAGAAGCCUGGGUUUCCAAGAAGGGGAGAUAAUUAGAAGCCCCCAAGUCUGCUUAGGUGAGUAAUUUCGAGGGUCUUUUCUAGGUUAUACACUGACAGCCACUCAGAGGGAAACUGCAGGAC